AUUGAACGCUGGCGGCAGGCUUAACACAUGCAAGUCGAGCGGUAGCACAGGGGAGCUUGCUCCCUGGGUGACGAGCGGCGGACGGGUGAGUAAUGUCUGGGAAACUGCCUGAUGGAGGGGGAUAACUACUGGAAACGGUAGCUAAUACCGCAUAACGUCGCAAGACCAAAGAGGGGGACCUUCGGGCCUCUUGCCAUCAGAUGUGCCCAGAUGGGAUUAGCUAGUAGGUGGGGUAAUGGCUCACCUAGGCGACGAUCCCUAGCUGGUCCGAGAGGAUGACCAGCCACACUGGAACUGAGACACGGUCCAGACUCCUACGGGAGGCAGCAGUGGGGAAUAUUGCACAAUGGGCGCAAGCCUGAUGCAGCCAUGCCGCGUGUGUGAAGAAGGCCUUCGGGUUGUAAAGCACUUUCAGCGAGGAGGAAGGUGGUGAGCUUAAUACGUUCAUCAAUUGACGUUACUCGCAGAAGAAGCACCGGCUAACUCCGUG
rnacentral:rRNA from 1 species